rnacentral:pre_miRNA from 1 species
UCUUUGGUGAUUUUAGCUGUAUGGUGUGUUUAUGUGUUCCAUAGAGCUUUAUUACCAAAAACC